CACUUUGGAGCAGCACCACCACAAACUUUCUACCGUUUGGAUUCUUUCAGGUGACGUUAGGAUCACUAACGUGUUCUUCAGUUCAGACUAGAGGGAACUGGGUUUGGGUCAGAACCAGGCUCAAAUACUCACCAUUCCUGCCACAUGUUUAACCGCCUGGUUGAAGCGUGAGAGAACAGAGCAGAACUUCAGAGGAGACACUGGACCAGGCGAGGAACACAAACACUCGCAUGCAGGAAGAACGGGAAGAGGACCAUUCCUGACAUGAUUCCUCUCAUUCAGAUUCAGGGGCUGGAAGGUCACGGAAUGAUCCGAUAAAGGGGGCGAGGUUUGGUCAAAGGUUCAUGGGAGGUUGGACCUUAAGUUUGACCACUUUUUAAAGUCAUUUACAGGACAAACGUCGUAUUUAAACCAAAUCCUGAAUCCAUGCGCCUCAGUUUCAUUUGGACCGUCGUCUUUCUGGAUGGCUGAAACUGAAGCAUGAACCUCCAGAGAGAUUAGAGGAGCAGACCUGCACACCUGGAGAGACGUGCAGAUCCCUCGACCUUCCUGUGACCUUUCAGGAUCUGAUUCAGACGUUUCUCUGGGUUCUGCGAUGUGAAGUGAAGCAGACUCGUACCUUCUGGACCAGCUGCCCUCCAGCUUCAGCCGCAGACACCAGCUUACAGAGCGCCUGCAGAGCGGCCGGCCUCAGACCUGCGGGGGAGGGGCAGACGGCGGCGUUAGACGUUAGCAUCCUGCAGUGUGACGAGGAGCUGAAGCUGCUGCAGGUGAACCGACAGGUGAGCCAGGUGCAGGUACCGAGCAGAGACUGCAGCGUGGAGCUGCACUGCUGCAGCCGGUCUCCA